ACAAGGGCCUUAUAGAUGGGCUCCAACCAUAGUAGGGAAAUAAUUCUUUCAUUGUGGAGAGGAGGACAAGGGCCUUGUAGAUGGAUGCCAAAAAUUUGACAAAUAUUUCACUCUCUCUCUCUCGCCGUGGACUGGAGGACAAGGGCGUAGUAGAUGGAUCCCAAGUGUUAUAGACAGACAUGUCUCUCUCUCAUGGCAAACUAGAGGGAAAAGGAUGCCAAAAAUUGUAGACGCAUAAUGAAAUCUCUCUCAUGGCGGACUAGAGGAAAAUGGAUCUCAACAGUUGUUGACAAAUAAUACGAUCUCUCUCUUAUGGCGGACUGGAGGACAAGGGAAAUAGUAAAGGAUGUCUUGAGUCAUAGGCAGAUAUGUUUUCUCUUGGUGGACUGGAAGUCAAGGGGACUGAGUGGAUGAGAUGAAGUCUGCUUCUCAGAUCAUGAAAACUGAAA